UACGUAGGGGCAAGCGUUGUCCGGAAUCAUUGGGCGUAAAGAGCGUGUAGGCGGUUAUACAGGUCCGCUGUGAAAACUGGAGGCUUAACCUCCAGACGUCGGUGGAAACCGUAUAACUAGAGUCCGGAAGAGGAGAGUGGAAUUCCCGGUGUAGCGGUGAAAUGCGCAGAUAUCGGGAAGAACACCCGUGGCGAAGGCGGCUCUCUGGGACGGUACUGACGCUGAGACGCGAAAGCGUGGGGAGCAAACA
rnacentral:rRNA from 1 species